GUAGUUAGCCGGGGCUUCCUCCUUGGCUACCGUCAUUUUUUCGUCACCAAGGACAGAGGUUUACAACCCGAAGGCCUUCUUCCCUCACGCGGCGUUGCUGGGUCAGGCUUUCGCCCAUUGCCCAAUAUUCCCCACUGCUGCCUCCCGUAGGAGUCUGGACCGUGUCUCAGUUCCAGUGUGGCCGAUCAGCCUCUCAGCUCGGCUACCCAUCGUCGACUUGGUGGGCCGUUACCCCGCCAACUAUCUAAUGGGACGCGAGCCCCUCCUUUUGCGGAUUGCUCCUUUGACCUCAAAAUGAUGCCAUCUCGUGGUCUUAUGCGGUAUUAGCAGAUGUUUCCAUCUGUUAUCCCCCUGUCUGGGACAGAUUGUUCACGCGUUACUCACCCGUCCGCCGCUCGAACAGAUACCGAAGCACCUGUCCUCGCUCGACUUGCAUGUGUUAAGCACGCCGCCAGCGUUCGUCCUGAGCCAGAAUCAAACUCUGA
rnacentral:rRNA from 1 species